GGCAUUGGCUUAUUGUGCGAAUGUUUCACCAUUUGCAGUGUCUCGAGCACAAAUAUCACACCAACUUUCUAUCAAUUUGAUGAGUCUUUCUAAGCAAGAAGAUGUUACCGAAGAUUCGCACUUCGGGAGAGCUGUGACAGAUCUUUUUCCCAAUGACGCAGUUAGUGUCGAGUAGGUGCUUAGGUUUCAGUGAUUUUAUCUUAGUAAGAAAACUUUUCUUAAGUAAGAGCCAGAACCUUGAAUUUUGUGUGUGCCCUGUCGCCGUCACUGACGUACCGCUCCAUGUCUUGGGAUAUCUGGAUCCGUAUCUAUCGCUGUAUCUCUAUCUGUGCCUGUUUAUGUGGAGGUGUUUCCGUCCUCUCUGUGUUUUAUGGCUACUUGUUGACUUUGGUCUUGCGAUUGCUGAGGCUGUCUGGAUCUCAAGUUUGUUAGCUUUUGCAUGAAUAAGUAUCAAUGGGACGAUAUGAAUAUGCGAGAGUAAGUGCAAUGGGCACUGGCACUUGGCACUUGGCAGUCCCUGCAUUUCCACAGACCUUCGUGGAGAUACCUGCAGGUGUCCAUUGUUUUUGUUAUUACCCGCUUAUCGGCUGGCGAUAUGUUCACCUACUCACACCUACAUAUACAUACAUACAUACAUGGAGUCUAUGGCGGCAGCUCGUAAGCCGCAAAUGUUUGCUCUACGAGUACGUGUCAUUCUGUCAGCGUGUGCGAGUGGUUGAGGCUUUACUGGCACUCGCAUUCGCUGGCAUUCCUCCUUUUCACAUUUUCUAGUCUAAUGCAUUAAGUCGAUUUCUCGCUCCAGUGGACUUGGUUGCUGCCACAAGCAGCCCUAAGGACUCCAGUCCUUGCACGCUCUUCCCGCCUGUCGCUUUGGCGCAGAUUUGGCUUAGCUUUUACACGCUCAAUGGAAUACUUUUGCUUUUCAAAACACUUUCGCUAUAUUCUCUCUUAAGCUCAAGCGAACCUUUGCAAAAACGGCCGGAUUACCCUCGUACGGAUGUGGACAGGGAGGGGAGUACCGUUUCUGUCCCUGUCCCAGGAUUGGGUUUGUGGCUUGCUGGUGAGUGGGAAGAACUAAACAAUCUGUAAUCAGUAUUUAAUUAACCGUUUUAAAGAAAUUCAAUCAAGAUGACUCCGACGAACCGUUUCGUUCCCCGGAGGUUAAUUAACUUUGCAACAGUGAAAACAAUGUUGUGAAGCCGGUUCAGUCAGCCGUCCCAGCCGGCCACCCCCACCACCGAGCGCCUGGAUCUCAGAGACUAUAAGAGCUAGGGCCACCCAAUUUUGCAUCCAGAUGGCUGUAUGCUCACACUGUUACAAGUGUAUUUUAAAAUUUCGCCCCAACUACUUCCGCCCCCCGCAAAUCGCAAAAAUCCGUUUUAUCCACAAUUUUAAAGAUAAAAGACGAGAAGGGACGUGUGAGACGCUUCUUACGCGUCACAACUUGUAUUCCCGGCACUCAGUACUACAUAUGCACCUUAGCGGUUAUUUUAAAUUUUUUCUUUAUCUUUCAUCUACAUCUACAACACUUCUCACACCAACACGCUUCUUUAGCUCGCCACCCUCCCCUAGAGCCACACACUGCAGAGUAGGGCAGAAACGCGGCAGAGACAGAGGCAGAGACUUGUCUGCGCGAAGCAAAGUGUGAAUGAGAGAAUGUAAAAAAAAAACAAAUAUAAGCUGCGGGACGGGGUGGGUUUAGCCAAUGCAAAUUAAUUUCUUCAUUGUGUCCAUAAUAAUGAUCCAAUCGGAUCCCAAAUUGGUGAUCUGAUAGAUAUGGUAAUUCCCUACGGAAUUCAAAGUAGCUUUGGGAGGUUUUCGCCCUUUUGGGGGGGCGGGGCUAUUUUUUUAAAUACACUGGUUUCAGUGUGAGCAUACAGCAGACCGGAGCCAAAAAUUUGGUGACUCUAGCUUUUAUAGUCUCUGAGAACUAGCCGACAAACAAGACGGA
rnacentral:lncRNA from 1 species